CGCAGCAAUGCCGCGUGAGUGAUGAAGGCCUUCGGGUCGUAAAGCGUCUGUCAGAGGGGAAGAACUUCCUGUCGGUUAAUACCCGGCGGGCCUGACGGUACCCUCAAAGGAAGCACCGGCUAACUCCGUGCCAGCAGCCGCGGUAAUACGGAGGGUGCGAGCGUUGUUCGGAAUUAUUGGGCGUAAAGCGCGUGCAGGCGGCUCGCUAAGUCUGAUGUGAAAGCCCUGGGCUCAACCCGGGAAGUGCAUUGGAAACUGGCGAACUUGAGUACGGGAGAGGGAAGUGGAAUUCCGAGUGUAGGGGUGAAAUCCGUAGAUAUUCGGAGGAACACCAGUGGCGAAGGCGGCUUCCUGGACCGAUACUGACGCUGAGACGCGAAAGCGUGGGGAGCAAACAGGAUUAGAUACCCUGGUAGUCCAACGCCGUAAACGAUGGGCACUAGGUGUCGCGGGUAUUGACCCCUGCGGUGCCGUAGCUAACGCAUUAAGUGCCCCGCCUGGGGAGUACGGCCGCAAGGCUA
rnacentral:rRNA from 1 species